rnacentral:rRNA from 1 species
UACGUAGGGUGCAAGCGUUGUCCGGAAUUAUUGGGCGUAAAGAGCUCGUAGGCGGCUUGUUGCGUCGUCCGUGAAAACCCGUGGCUUAACUGCGGGCUUGCGGUCGAUACGGGCGGGCUGGAGUUCGGUAGGGGAGACUGGAAUUCCUGGUGUAGCGGUGAAAUGCGCAGAUAUCAGGAGGAACACCGGUGGCGAAGGCGGGUCUCUGGGCCGAUACUGACGCUGAGGAGCGAAAGCGUGGGGAGCGAACAGG